CAGCCGCCACGGGAAUACGUAGGGUGCGAGCGUUAAUCGGAAUUACUGGGCGUAAAGCGUGCGCAGGCGGUUAUAUAAGACAGAUGUGAAAUCCCCGGGCUCAACCUUGGACCUGCAUUUGUGACUGUAUAGCUAGAGUACGGUAGAGGGGGAUGGAAUUCCGCGUGUAGCAGUGAAAUGCGUAGAUAUGCGGAGGAACACCGAUGGCGAAGGCAAUCCCCUGGACCUGUACUGACGCUCAUGCACGAAAGCGUGGGGAGCAAACAGGAUUAGAUACCCCAGUAGUCCCUGUCUCUUAUAC
rnacentral:rRNA from 1 species